UACGUAGGGUGCGAGCGUUGUCCGGAAUUAUUGGGCGUAAGGAGCUCGUAGGCGGUUUGUUGCGUCGGCCGUGAAAACCUGCAGCUUAACUGUGGGCCUGCGGCCGAUACGGGCAGACUUGAGUUCGGUAGGGGAGACUGGAAUUCCUGGUGUAGCGGUGAAAUGCGCAGAUAUCAGGAGGAACACCGGUGGCGAAGGCGGGUCUCUGGGCCGAUACUGACGCUGAGGAGCGAAAGCGUGGGGAGCAAACAGG
rnacentral:rRNA from 1 species